GGAUCACUGCAACUCCAGCUACACUUCUCCUUGCUCCAGGAAAGGUACCAACCGAUCACAAGAGAGGUUGCCAAGUGUGUGGAGACUACCCUUGCUCUGACAACAACCGAUCAUCUACACAAUAUUCGGCCUAAUGACUUCGUGAUCAUCUACAACACCAACCGGAGGUGGACCAACCAGAGGUGGACCGACCCUUUCCGCGUUCAGCUGACGACCCACACUGCAGUGAAGGUCGCGGAGCGGGCGACAUGGACCCAAGCAGAUGAUUGCCGACACCAGCUGAUGCUGAGACGGAGGCUGACCGAACAACGAAGCAGGAAACGACAAGGCCACUGAGUGAGGCGCCGUAAUAACAACUACACCGUCUAAGCUGGCUUCUCAGGUGCGGUGCACAAAGAAGCGUUCCUUUGCCUUGUGGGAUCACAGGAGCUGAUUGCCUAGAUUAAGCCCUGAGGACCCCGCCAACGUGGGAUUUUUGUUCUUCCUUUGCUUUGUUUAUAAGCCACACCCAUGGAAGGCUUAUAGCUAGGUGGAGGGUGGACAACCUCACACCCGGCUGCAAGAUGAUACAGUCACAAGGCCUUCCGCUGUGAUCAUCGAGGAACAGACUGAAGGUUCUGUACUCAUGAUGCCGCCAAUCAAGUGCGGUGAUUCUAACCAUGGUUCCACUAUUCUUCUGGCUAUUGAUGACCCCAGUUACCAAUGGGGCCACUGAACUCAGUCAAUGAACACGAGUGAUGUCCUUGAUGUAAAUGAUGAUUUUUGAUAGUAGUAGAGGUUGAUUUUUGAUGAUUCAUGCCAUUGAUAAUAACGAUGAAGUUUUUAAGGCUUAUUUCUA
rnacentral:lncRNA from 1 species